rnacentral:lncRNA from 1 species
UGGGAAUGGCUUGAGUGACGUCACAAUUGGGCAAUGUGAUCCCACCCUGGGAGGCUGAGACCUAGAUUCAAAUGGAGUACUCGCCUGUCUGUCCCUUCUCUGCUACGGUUCAGGUUAGAUGAGCUGCUCCCGUUGGUGGUUUUUAUCUCUUAGCUACACAGCUGCCUGUAGCACUCUCGUCUUUCAGAAUGAGUUGCCAACUUUCCAUUCUGGCCGUCAGAAUUAAAACAAAGAAUCAUCCUCCAAAGUCAUCCAGGCCGAUUUGGUGGUGGCAGGAACAAAAGGGCACCAAUCCCAGAAGGGGGAGGCUAGAUCAACUUUAGGUCACGACUUACUACUUUCCUGGCAAUCCAGGAAUCACAUCAACCUGGCUAUUCACAGAUGAAGGGGUAAAGAAACUGCUGUGUAGA